UGAUAUCUUGUCACUACCAGUUAGGAAAACAAGCCAGCUGGGCAAGAUAGUACCAGUCACAUAUUAUCCUACUGCAAACAGAUGGUGCCCGGUGAAAGUAUUGGAUACAUACCUCCACUCAUUACCACCACAGUCUGACAUCCCACUGCUAGUCUAGCACAAAGAGGUCUUAACAACAGCCAAAUUCAUGCAAUACGUCCGCAUGUUACUGACCAGACUAGGUCUGAACGCUGGCAACUUUUCUGGCCAUUCCUUUCGGAUAGGGGCAGCCACCACAGCCUCC